GACGAACGCUGGCGGCGUGCUUAACACAUGCAAGUCGAACGGAAAGGCCCUGCUUUUGUGGGGUGCUCGAGUGGCGAACGGGUGAGUAACACGUGAGUAACCUGCCCUUGACGUUGGGAUAACUUCAGGAAACUGGGGCUAAUACCGGAUAGGAGUUCCUGCGGCAUGGUGGGGGUUGGAAAGUUUCGGCGGUUGGGGACGGACUCGCGGCUUAUCAGCUUGUUGGUGGGGUAGUGGCUUACCAAGGCUUUGACGGGUAGCCGGCCUGAGAGGGUGACCGGCCACAUUGGGACUGAGAUACGGCCCAGACUCCUACGGGAGGCAGCAGUGGGGAAUAUUGCACAAUGGGCGGAAGCCUGAUGCAGCAACGCCGCGUGCGGGAUGACGGCCUUCGGGUUGUAAACCGCUUUCGCCUGUGACGAAGCGUGAGUGACGGUAAUGGGUAAAGAAGCACCGGCUAACUACGUG
rnacentral:rRNA from 1 species